UACGUAGGUGGCAAGCGUUGUCCGGAUUUACUGGGCGUAAAGGAUGCGUAGGCGGACAUUUAAGUCAGAUGUGAAAUACCCGAGCUUAACUUGGGUGCUGCAUUUGAAACUGGGUGUCUAGAGUGCAGGAGAGGUAAGUGGAAUUCCUAGUGUAGCGGAUGAAAUGCGUAGAGAUUAGGAAGAACACCAGUGGCGAAGGCGACUUACUGGACUGUAACUGACGCUGAGGCAUGAAAGCGUGGGGAGCAAACAGG
rnacentral:rRNA from 1 species